CGACGGCAUUGAUGGGGACAGAGGACCUGGGCCUGGUACAGACGGUGGCCCUGGACUUGAUGGAGAUGAUGGCAAAAAUGGAGCUAACGGAUUGGCUGGAGCCCCAGGAGCUGAUGGUCUGACUGGACCUGUUGGUGACCCUGGCCCUGAUGGAGUUCCUGGACCAAACGGAGAGCCUGGAGCACCUGGACCCC